rnacentral:rRNA from 1 species
AUUGAACGCUGGCGGCAUGCCUUACACAUGCAAGUCGAACGGUAACGCGGGGCAACCUGGCGACGAGUGGCGAACGGGUGGGUAAUGCAUCGGAACGUGCCCAGUUGUGGGGGAUAACUGCUCGAAAGAGCAGCUAAUACCGCAUACGACCUGAGGGUGAAAGCGGGGGAUCGCAAGACCUCGCGCAAUUGGAGCGGCCGAUGUCGGAUUAGCUAGUUGGUGGGGUAAAGGCCCACCAAGGCGACGAUCCGUAGCUGGUCUGAGAGGACGACCAGCCACACUGGGACUGAGCCACGGCCCAGACUCCUACGGGAGGCAGCAGUGGGGAAUUUUGGACAAUGGACGCAAGUCUGAUCCAGCCAUGCCGCGUGCGGGAAGAAGGCCUUCGGGUUGUAAACCGCUUUUGUCAGGGAAGAAAUCUUCUGGGUUAACACCUCGGGAGGAUGACGGUACCUGAAGAAUAAGCACCGGCUAACUACGUGCCAGCCGCCGCAGUAAUAC